AUAUUCAUUUCUUAUAGCUAUCAAUAUGUCGUGUAGGUAUGUAAUGAUAAUUGUCUAUCCAGAGAAAGUUCCACCUUCAAUUAAACAUUGGAUAUACAAUACACAAAUAUGGCUGAUCUCCAUUUUGACCUUUGCAACACUGCAACCUCAGCACAGACUGAGGGUUUUGAUGGCUGCAGUCAAGUUCUCAUUAGAAUCCUUAGUUUUAGAUGAGUGAUACAUUGUCAUAGUGGAAUUGGAAUGACUCUCAUUCAUUUAUUACCCAAACUUCAUUUAUAUGAAUCUUCCCUUGAUACAAUGGAAGAUGCCUACCAACAGAAUAAAACAAUAUGAUGGAGAUUUGCAUUCUUUAUUUCUCAUCCUAGCUUGCUCUUUUUUGCAUAAAGCUAAAUUAACUUACUUUCCUUUCCAACAUGUUGAUUCUGAUUUGUUAUCAGCAAUACUCUCAGUCUGAAGCCACCCAUGUAGGGUGAAACAUACCAUGCAACUUUUUGUGCAUAUCCUUUUCCCCAGCCCUGUUGUUUUAGUCCCUUAAUUUGAUAUAGUAUGCAGAUAAGCUAUAAUUUCAUUUCAGAAACACUAUGUUGGUGCUUUUGCCCUUACCUUCUACCUUUCCUUAUAGUUGUACUGCUACAUGUAAUAUCUCCUUACUCAUACCUUUUACAGGUCAGAGACAAGGAUGCAUCAUAAUACAUUUAUGCAUAUGAAUGACAACAUUGUUUGCAUCCUAGACCUGAUCAAUACUAGGUAGCCUUAGAAAAUGAGAUUUGUCUAAAUUAGUGUAUGGAAUGAAACAUACUUUAUCUACAGAUAUCUUUAUUCAGACAUGUAGCAUAUUGCAGCAUUUAACACAAAUCUUCCCCAUGUUCUUGGUUGGCUACAGGUCAUACUGCUGUCCAUGGUGGCUACUAAGAGAGUCCUGUCAGAAUGUGGAUAGUGUCCAACUCCAACUUCCUCAAUGUCCAUGCCAGGUUCUGUGAUGUCCCAGAGUUGACUCACUAGCUAGAUUUUUACAUCACCAUUGCUAGCUGCAGUUCAGUUUCCCCUAGUAAAUGAACUUGUCACCUUGCAUGUUAUUCCACAUAUCACUGCCUCCUAGCAUCAUGAUAUGACAAAUGUUCAGACAGUCUGUUGACAGAUUAAAAGAGGAAUUUUGCUUCUGUGAA